rnacentral:rRNA from 1 species
UGGGGAAUAUUGGACAAUGGGCGCAAGCCUGAUCCAGCCAUGCCGCGUGAGUGAUGAAGGCCCUAGGGUUGUAAAGCUCUUUCACCGGUGAAGAUAAUGACGGUAACCGGAGAAGAAGCCCCGGCUAACUUCGUGCCAGCAGCCGCGGUAAUACGAAGGGGGCUAGCGUUGUUCGGAUUUACUGGGCGUAAAGCGCACGUAGGCGGACUAUUAAGUCAGGGGUGAAAUCCCGGGGCUCAACCCCGGAACUGCCUUUGAUUCUGGUAGUCUUGAGUUCGAGGGAGGUGAGUGGAAUUCCGAGUGUAGAGGUGAAAUUCGUAGAUAUUCGGAGGAACACCAGUGGCGAAGGGGGCUCGCUGGCUCGAAACUGACGCUGAGGUGCGAAAGCGUGGGGAGCAAACAGG